rnacentral:rRNA from 1 species
AUGAGUGAGGCCCCCGAACUCGAAGCACCACCCGGCUUGGACGCCCCGACGCCGGUCACCGCCCUCGCCACCGGUUGCUGCACUCGCCGUCAGUUGCCUCCUUCGCCGCGCGUCACUGCUCCUCCCAACCAUCUCACUCGUUCGCAACUUCCUCGUGGUCGGAUCCCCCGCCAAACUUGGCCAUGGCUGACACGGAGCCUCCGUCGGCAGCGGUUGAAGCUCCCCGCCCCCGCGGUUGCAGCAUCUGGUGAACCACACCCCUUCGUCCUCGCCGUCGAGCUCGCCGUAGCCGUCGCCGUCUCUGCUGGCCUCCAUCGACAUGCAUCGUACCUACAGAAUUCCAGUGGUCGAUUGAAGCAAAAUCAAAUAACACUUCCAGCAAACCAAACUUAG